UACGUAGGGGGCGAGCGUUGUCCGAAUUCACUGGGCGUAAAGCGCGCGUAGGCGGGCUUUUAAGUUGUGGGUGAAAUCCCGAGGCUUAACCUCGGAGCUGCCUGCAAAACUGGAAGCCUUGAGGUUUGGAGAGGGAAGUGGAAUUCCAGGUGUAGCGGUGAAAUGCGUAGAUAUCUGGAGGAACACCCGUGGCGAAGGCGGCUUCCUGGCCAUAUCCUGACGCUGAGGUGCGAAAGCUAGGGGAGCGAACGGGAUUAGAAACCCCAGUAGUCC
rnacentral:rRNA from 1 species